rnacentral:rRNA from 1 species
CGAACGGAAAGGCCCCGCUUGCGGGGUACUCGAGUGGCGAACGGGUGAGUAACACGUGGGUGAUCUACCCUGCACUUCGGGAUAAGCCUGGGAAACUGGGUCUAAUACCGGAUAGGACCCCUCUUUAGUGUGGGGGGUGGAAAGUUUUUUCGGUGUGGGAUGAGCCCGCGGCCUAUCAGCUUGUUGGUGGGGUAAUGGCCUACCAAGGCGUCGACGGGUAGCCGGCCUGAGAGGGUGGACGGCCACAUUGGGACUGAGAUACGGCCCAG